UAUCCAUUAUAUAGCUUAGUAACUCACACAAUGAAACCUUCAAACAAAUUCCCUUGGUCUAAUCAAUUUACCAAAUCCUGCCAAACAGGUUUGUAAAAUCAGCAAAGAUCUGUCAUUUGCAUCAACACUAUGACAUUUUAGACGCAUCCAGUGAAACGUUCUUCACGCAUCCAGUGACUGGACUGCAAGUGGAGAUGGGGAACAUGGAGGGCGUCAGCGUACUGCAUGGGCUCGUGGUCGGAACUGCAAGCCGCCGCCGAUAGAGCCGCAUGUUGCUCUGGGCCGAGCUGCACAAAAUAUAUAAGUGAAAUGCGCCUCCCAUCCCAUUAAAAAGAAGUGAACCGGUCGCUCAUAGCGAUGCGUUAGCCAGCCACACAAAUUGGUGCCCGAGCCUUUUUUGUGUGGACUGCGCAGAGGGCGAGCUGCACGAUGUGCACUGCCGUACUGCACAUCCAUGGCCACGCACACGUGAAACUUGAACCAAAUGAGCUGCAGGCAGUGGACGGAAGCUCGGGCGCAGUUCACUGGUUUUUGGGUACUGUACCGACGACCCAAGUGCCCUGCAACGGAAGAGCAACCUGCAUUGCUCGCCGUGAGUGAAGAACAAACAUUGAAGAAUUUGAUCUGGGCAUUUUUUGUACCUGCGGCAUGGAUGGAGGUGUCAAGGAACUACAUGUCGGUGAAGAGAGAGCUCCACGCGAGGGGUUCGCCGAUCUGCACAUCGUGGUCGUCGGUGGGCACCUGAUCGAGUGAAGGACACGGGUGGUACUCUUUCUUCUUUCCCUGUUGACGUUGGCAGUAGGGGGGAAAUGAGUAUGAGCGCUGACAGUAGGGUGGACUGCAUGGGAGGAGCAACCCAAUCCCCUGCGAAUCCAAAAUGAACCUCGCCGGCGUCAAGGUGGAUUUCCUCUCNNN
rnacentral:lncRNA from 1 species